GCUCGGUUAGCUCAGUUGGUUAGAGCGUCGUACUAAUAUUAUAUCCUGUAUAAUAUCGGUAAUGCGAAGGUCAUGAGUUCGACCCUCAUACUGAGCA
rnacentral:tRNA from 1 species